UGGGGAAUAUUGCGCAAUGGACGAAAGUCUGACGCAGCGACGCCGCGUGUGGGAUGACGCCUUUCGGGGUGUAAACCACUGUUGCCCGGGACGAAAUGCCCUUUCGAGGGAAUUGACGGUACCGGGUGAGGAAGCACCGGCUAACUCUGUGCCAGCAGCCGCGGUAAUACAGAGGGUGCGAGCGUUGUCCGGAAUCACUGGGCGUAAAGGGCGCGUAGGUGGCUUGGUAAGCGUGUGGUGAAAGUCCGGGGCUCAACCCCGGAUCUGCCAUGCGAACUGCCGAGCUCGAGCAUUGUAGAGGCAGGUGGAAUUUCGGGUGUAGCGGUGGAAUGCGUAGAUAUCCGAAAGAACACCGGUGGCGAAGGCGGCCUGCUGGGCAAUUGCUGACACUGAGGCGCGACAGCGUGGGGAGCAAACAGG
rnacentral:rRNA from 1 species